ensembl:lncRNA
UGGUUAGGAAGUUUGAUAUCCGCCUGUUCUGAGUCUGGGACUGGGACUGGGACUGGGUCUGGGACUGGGUCUGGGACUGGUCUGGGUCUGGGACUGGCUCUGGGACUGGGUCUGGGUCUGGGUCUGGACAUGGGACUGAGUCUGGGAAUGGGUCUGGGACUGGGUCUGGGUCUGGGAAUGGGUCUGGGACUGGUUCAAGGGCAGGUUCACCAGAAACUAUACUGAGAGAAGUUGGUUGAGACGAGUCUCCUCCAUGCUUCCUUCCACCAUCCUCCUUUUCUCUCUCUGAGACCUUGACCUCUGACCCUUUAACCGUUCUACUUGUCUGAGUCUUCUCCUUAGGCUCCCUAAGGAGGUCAGGAGGGGUCAGGGUUGGUGGUCUGUCCCCAGGCAGAGCUGACUGUGGUGGGGUCAGGGUUGGUGGUCUGUCCCCAGGCAGAGCUGACUGUGGUGGGGUCAGGGUUGUUGGUCUGUCCCCAGGCAGAGCUGACUGUGGUGGGGUCAGGGUUGGUGGUCUGUCCCCAGGCAGAGCUGACUGUGGUGGGGUCAGGGUUGGUGGUCUGUCCCCAGGCAGAGCUGACUGUGUUGGGGUCAGGGUUGGUGGUCUGUCCCCAGGCAGAGCUGACUGUGGUGGGGUCAGGGUUGUUGGUCUGUCCCCAGGCAGAGCUGACUGUGGUGGGGUCAGGGUUGUUGGUCUGUCCCCAGGCAGAGCUGGCUGUGGUGGGGUCAGGGUUGGUGGUCUGUCCCCAGGCAGAGCUGACUGUGGAGGGGUCAGGGUUGGUGGUGGUGGGGUCUCUGGCUUCUUGACGCUGAGGAAGUUCGGUGAGGUGAAGCUAGCCUCACUCACUGGGUGGUGAAGGUUCUCGUGCACAUUCAGUGGAGGCAGAAAGGCACAGUCCAGUCUAGUAGCAGGUUGGGAGACAGAGACAUCAUGGAGGCUCAUAGAGGAACGAUCGUCAGCUUUCACUGCGUGAUCGAAAAACAGUUUCCUGUUGCCCCUCACAGCUAGUCGGAACACCUUAACUCCAGACAUAGUGAAGGGUUCCACUACACCACUACCACUGUCUUAAGACUGAGGCUGUACUGACCUGAGACGUGUAGCUUCACUCUCAGAAAACCUUAGCCUCUG